rnacentral:rRNA from 1 species
AGAGUUUGAUCAUGGCUCAGAUUGAACGCUGGCGGCAGGCCUAACACAUGCAAGUCGAGCGGAUGAGUGGAGCUUGCUCCAUGAUUCAGCGGCGGACGGGUGAGUAAUGCCUAGGAAUCUGCCUGGUAGUGGGGGACAACGUUUCGAAAGGAACGCUAAUACCGCAUACGUCCUACGGGAGAAAGUGGGGGAUCUUCGGACCUCACGCUAUCAGAUGAGCCUAGGUCGGAUUAGCUAGUUGGUGAGGUAAAGGCUCACCAAGGCGACGAUCCGUAACUGGUCUGAGAGGAUGAUCAGUCACACUGGAACUGAGACACGGUCUAGACUCCUACGGGAGGCAGCAGUGGGGAAUAUUGGACAAUGGGCGAAAGCCUGAUCCAGCCAUGCCGCGUGUGUGAAGAAGGUCUUCGGAUUGUAAAGCACUUUAAGUUGGGAGGAAGGGCAGUAAGUUAAUACCUUGCUGUUUUGACGUUACCAACAGAAUAAGCACCGGCUAACUUCGUGCCAGCAGCCGCGGUAAUACGAAGGGUGCAAGCGUUAAUCGGAAUUACUGGGCGUAAAGCGCGCGUAGGUGGUUCGUUAAGUUGGAUGUGAAAGCCCCGGGCUCAACCUGGGAACUGCAUCCAAAACUGGCGAGCUAGAGUAUGGCAGAGGGUGGUGGAAUUUCCUGUGUAGCGGUGAAAUGCGUAGAUAUAGGAAGGAACACCAGUGGCGAAGGCGGGUCUCCGGGCAGUAACUGACGCUGAGGAGCGAAAGCGUGGGGAGCGAACAGGAUUAGAUACCCUGGUAGUCCAA